GCUCUCUCCUUUCUUUCUUUCAUUUUCUUUCUUUUCAUUUUACUGAAACACACACACACCCAUCCACCAGCCUCCACCCCAAAACACACUAUAUCACCAUCAUUUUUCCGACAAGAUCACUGGAAAAAUACUUAGGAACUCCAAAGCAUCUUCAUUAUUUUAUUUGAGGUUCUAGCUAAAUUCCCCUUGGAGCUUAGAGAAUUAGGAUUUUGCGGUUACGAGAGUAGGCGACAAUCUUUUGAGACAGCUUUUUUGGUGGCUAAUAGUAGUUAGACUAACUACUGAUGGAGGCUGAAUUUUUGUAAUGGAUAUAUUAGAUGGUGUACAUUUUAGACUAGGCUUGACUUAUUCUUUUGUAUAUUAUAGUGGUUAUGACUGUAUUUCCACUGAUGAGACAAGCUGUUGUUAUGUAAUAGUUUUAUUCAGAUCUCUAUUCUUUUGUGGCCUAUGGUCCUUGUAAUUAAUGCUUAGAGCUCUGACUUACUCUGAAA